rnacentral:rRNA from 1 species
UACGAAGGGGGCUAGCGUUGUUCGGAUUUACUGGGCGUAAAGCGCACGUAGGCGGAUCGUUAAGUGAGGGGUGAAAUCCCAGGGCUCAACCCUGGAACUGCCUUUCAUACUGGCGAUCUUGAGUCCGGAAGAGGUAAGUGGAACUGCGAGUGUAGAGGUGAAAUUCGUAGAUAUUCGCAAGAACACCAGUGGCGAAGGCGGCUUACUGGUCCGGUUCUGACGCUGAGGCGCGAAAGCGUGGGGAGCAAACAGG